UACGAAGGGGGCUAGCGUUGCUCGGAAUCACUGGGCGUAAAGCGCACGUAGGCGGAUGUGUCAGUCAGGGUGAAAUCCUGGAGCUCAACUCCAGAACUGCCUUUGAUACUGGCGAUCUCGAGUCCGGGAGAGGUGAGUGGAACUGCGAGUGUAGAGGUGAAAUUCGUAGAUAUUCGCAAGAACACCAGUGGCGAAGGCGGCUCACUGGCCCGGUACUGACGCUGAGGUGCGAAAGCGUGGGAGCAACAGG
rnacentral:rRNA from 1 species